AUUUCAUCCUCAUAUAUAUGUUUGUUUCUUCAAUGAGAAGAGAUACAGAAAUGCAAUAUUUGGCAUGGAAUAGGUGGCGUUGGCAGAAUAAAGACUUCCUCCAGCAACGAAGAAGGGUUAAGGGUGAGAGAGAGAAAAACAGAACGAAGCAGAAAAGAAAACACGACGGAGGGAGAAGGAGAAGAGGGUGCUGACGAACCCACGUCCACUGUAGAACCGCAUCACAACCGCUCCUUUGCAGCCGGGCAGCAGGUGCUGCGAAUGUCAUCAUUACGACGUUGUUGUACAUAGGGGAUUUGGACCCUGAGGUUGACGAGAGUGGUUUCGGUUCAACUAGAAAUGAGUCUGCCUCAAAUACCUGCUGGAAGACUGGGAAAGCUGUUUGGGAUACGAUGAAAAAGAAGACUGCUACAUAUCAAGACAGUGUCAAGCUUUACAAGGAAGAAUUUGAAAAAGCAAAAUUAGCUCUGACUAAGGAUGAGGCUGAACUUCCAAAAUAAGAAAGCAAACUUAAAAUAUUGUGCAACAGCUAAAAGGGAGUGUAAGUGGAGGAGGGAGUGUUCCUCAUACUUAAAAUUCUUCAGAUCGCGCAUACCCUUCCAGUUUCACUUAAUAACAUUGGAGGUGAAUUAAUGGGAGCGUGUUCUGUAUUAAUGGGAAACUUUUGGGAUACACAUACUACUGAAACUCUGUUUCAGUUUGGGUAGGAGAUAUAUUGUUAGUUGGAGAUGAUCUCUUGAUGUCUAAUGCAAAACGCAUUGAGAAAGCAGUACUAGGGUAUGUGUGUAAUGCUCUUCUUCUUAAGGGAUUAGUGAGGGAAUUCCAAUGCAGCUUGCUCAUGAUGGCUUGAAAGUCCUGGCAAACUUAUAAGGUAAUAAUGCUUUUGGAUCUCAAUUUCCACGAGCACUUUGGAAUACUUCCAACCUUUAAAAGCAUACAUAUGCGAGGUAAAAUUUAAAUGCAUACAUUCCAUUUCCUUCACUAGAAAUAUAUUUUAGUGUUCCUAAGAAGUAUCUAUCAAGUAAUUUUCAAUGAAAAUUUGUUUUGCCUCCUAAAACAAGAAAAUCUGUAUUUGAACAAUAGCUAUUAUUAGGAUUUUGAAGAAAAUCUGGUGCAACUUUCCGACUAAAUAUGCUACAAGCUCCAACGGUUUAAAGAAACAUUGUGCUUUUCCUGGAAAAAAAAUUAGUGACUUUUCCAAUUAAGAAAAGGCUAAUUUCUUCAGGGAUGACUUUGAACACACUUUAAUUAACACCUCAUUCUUUGUUUUUUUCUCAUUUUUCUUUUAGUUAGAUAUCUACCUUAUGUCGAUUUAUUCUCAAGGUACUUGCUUACAUGGUGUUGAUGAGCAUUGUUCUUUUGUUUUUGUACUUUUUUUAUAUUUUGAUAUGUCCUCAAUUUUUUUAUUCAAUUUUUUAUUCAAUUGUAAAAAAAUAUAAAGUCAAGAUUAUUUUCAAACUGAGGAUGGACCUCAAGAAUGUGAUAUAUCUCCAUUAUACCAUAAAGAGAUCAGUUCAUGGUCCAAAAUUAUGUAUAUAUGGUCCUUUUGGUUCCACUUCUCAAGACCAUGUAAAGUAUGACAUUGUGAUACUGUCUACUGAUUGGCUUUGGUGUUGCACCCACCACUUUCAUUAGCAUUCGAAAAUAUGUAGCUACUACACAUUGAUCAUGUUGGGGCUUUUAUAUAUGUAGUCUGCUUUCUAUUUUUUUUUUAUGUUAUACUGCAUAGUACUAAAACUCAAUUUGAAGAUCAUCUUUUCCAUUAAAUAAACACCAAAAUUUUGAUAUUUUAUAUUUGUGAUAAAGCGGUUUCAGAUGAUACAAUAGCUUAAGAAAGGAUCCAUUUGAAGCAUAUAUUUUAUUAGAAGAGAGCAAAACUGCUUUGAUUGGUUUAGAGAUAUAAUGAAUGAAUUUUACAACUUCAAACAUUAAUAAGGUAUGGCUUAACUUGACUGCACAACUUUAUUGUCUCAUUCAACACUUAAGUAAUACCGUUGAGAUAAGUAAUAUCAUGUUAAACAAUUGAUACAGGGACAACAUCAGUUAUGUCAUGAUAUGAUAUACUCAAAUUUUUUAACUUCUAACUAUUUUUUAAGAUGUUAUCACUCUUUAGUUUGCCUUAGAUUUUUUAUUUUGACCAGUAAAAUAGUAUCUAUUAUGAUCAACCAUUUUAAGUUGUUUAUAUGUAUGCUUUUGCCUAUAAUUAGAGUCAUUAAAACAAGUUAAAACUCAUGAGAUAAUUCGUUAACUUGCAAGAAAAAGACGAGUUGAACCAGCAAAACAUGUAUAUAUAUGUGAUGAUUAAUAUAUUUUUUUAUUUAACAGUGAGGGAUGCAUUUGUGCAGAGGAAAUCGAGGACAAA